rnacentral:rRNA from 1 species
GAUGAACGCUGGCGGCGUGCUUAACACAUGCAAGUCGAACGGAGAUAUGAAGCGAGCGGGAAGUGCUUGCACAGAACAAUCAUUUCAUAACUUAGUGGCGGACGGGUGAGUAACGCGUGGGUAACCUGCCUUAUACCGGGGGAUAACACUUAGAAAUAGGUGCUAAUACCGCAUAAGCCCACAGCUCGGCAUCGAGCAGAGGGAAAAGGAGUGAUCCGCUUUGAGAUGGCCUCGCGUCCGAUUAGCUAGUUGGUGAGGUAACGGCCCACCAAGGCGACGAUCGGUAGCCGGACUGAGAGGUUGAACGGCCACAUUGGGACUGAGACACGGCCCAG